AUAUAGCUUAUCACUAACUUUGCACAUUCUGAAUAACUCAUGACGAAGAAAAAGUUUUUUAAAUUGAAAAUGGAAAAUGGCUCUAAAAUAGCUUGGCUAAUUAUUACAUUUCUGCAUCCUUAACUGCCACCUCUCUGUAUUUUUAGUGCUAAUAAUCCCAAAGGACUGUUAGAAGUUCAAGAAGCUCUUGAAAAAGUACACAAAGUAGAAGAUCUUCUUCCAAUUAUGAAGAACCUGAUGUGAUCAGAGGAGUGUUGCUGGGAAGAUUACUUGGUCAGUGGUGUGAAGAAUGGAUUUAGAGAAGGAUUAGACUGGAGACUGGAAGACCAGUUAAGAGGCUUCUACAAUAGUCCAGGCAAGAGUUUAACAGUAAAACAAGAAAUGGGUUCACUGUGAAUACAAAAGUUCCCAGCCUCAAAGAUCAAGGGAAGGAAUAGGAUGGAUU